rnacentral:rRNA from 1 species
GUAACGGCGAGUGAAGCGGCAACAGCUCAAAUUUGAAAUCUGGCCCCCCGGCCCGAGUUGUAAUUUGGAGAGGAUGCUUCUGGCGCGGCGCCGUCCGAGUUCCUUGGAACAGGACGCCACAGAGGGUGAGAGCCCCGUACGGACGGACGCCUAGCCUCUACGAAGCUCCUUCGACGAGUCGAGUAGUUUGGGAAUGCUGCUCAAAAUGGGAGGUAAAUUUCUUCUAAAGCUAAAUACCGGCCAGAGACCGAUAGCGCACAAGUAGAGUGAUCGAAAGAUGAAAAGCACUUUGAAAAGAGGGUUAAAAAGUACGUGAAAUUGUUGAAAGGGAAGCGCCUGUGACCAGACUUGCGCCCCGCGGACCACCCGGCGUUCUCGCCGGUGCACUCUGCGGUGCGCAGGCCAGCAUCGGUUCUCCCAGGGGGACAAAGGCCGCGGGAACGUAGCUCCUUCGGGAGUGUUAUAGCCCGCGGCGGCAUGCCCCUGGGGGGACCGAGGACCGCGCUUCGGCAAGGAUGCUGGCGUAAUGGUCACCAGCGACCCGUCUUGAAACACGGACCAAGGAGUCAAGCAUUGGGGCGAGUGUAUGGGUGCCAAACCCGCACGCGAAAUGAAAGUAAACGCAGGUGAGAGCUUCGGCGCAUCAUCGACCGAUCCUGAUGUCUUCGGAUGGAUUUGAGUAAGAGCCUUACCGCUUGGACCCGAAAGAUGGUGAACUAUGCCUGAAUAGGGUGAAGCCAGAGGAAACUCUGGUGGAGGCUCGCAGCGGUUCUGACGUGCAAAUCGAUCGUCAAAUUUGGGCAUGGGGGCGAAAGACUAAUCGAACCAUCUAGUAGCUGGUUACCGCCGAAGUU